CCCCGCUCAUCCAUUCAGAAGCAUCACCUUGUCUUUCACUGUUUUCUUCUUUUUCCACUACAGAAGUUUCUAAGAAAGAAGGUAAAGGUGGCAAAGAUGCCAAGCAGAAAAGUAAAAAGUUCGGCAAGAAGUCAAGCCGGUUUACGCCAGCCAACUGCAUCCCUGUGGAAACGAGCAACUUUAAAUGUAUCCUUUUGACGCGUUGCCCGCUGGACAAACACCUCGCCCACGCGGCCGCUGUUUCCCUUAACUGGACGUCCUAGAUAUCGUGGACCCAUUUGAGGAAGCCAAGGCAAGCACAGAGUCCAUCACGCCUGUCUUCAAAAUGCGCGAGAUUCUGGACAAAUACCAUGACCCCUACACUGGUCGAUGGUCUGGAUUCCUGGGAAGUAAAAACUUUCCAAGGUUUGUGACUUGGGCUACUCUCUG
rnacentral:lncRNA from 1 species